AUGCAAGUCGAACGUUUUUCUUUCACCGGAGCUUGCUCCACCGAAAGAAAAGGAGUGGCGAACGGGUGAGUAACACGUGGGUAACCUGCCCAUCAGAAGGGGAUAACACUUGGAAACAGGUGCUAAUACCGUAUAACAAUCGAAACCGCAUGGUUUCGGUUUGAAAGGCGCUUUUGCGUCACUGAUGGAUGGACCCGCGGUGCAUUAGCUAGUUGGUGAGGUAACGGCUCACCAAGGCAACGAUGCAUAGCCGACCUGAGAGGGUGAUCGGCCACAUUGGGACUGAGACACGGCCCAAACUCCUACGGGAGGCAGCAGUAGGGAAUCUUCGGCAAUGGACGGAAGUCUGACCGAGCAACGCCGCGUGAGUGAAGAAGGUUUUCGGAUCGUAAAACUCUGUUGUUAGAGAAGAACAAGGAUGAGAGUAGAAUGUUCAUCCCUUGACGGUAUCUAACCAGAAAGCCACGGCUAACUACGUGCCAGCAGCCGCGGUAAUACGUAGGUGGCAAGCGUUGUCCGGAUUUAUUGGGCGUAAAGCGAGCGCAGGCGGUUUCUUAAGUCUGAUGUGAAAGCCCCCGGCUCAACCGGGGAGGGUCAUUGGAAACUGGGAAACUUGAGUGCAGAAGAGGAGAGUGGAAUUCCAUGUGUAGCGGUGAAAUGCGUAGAUAUAUGGAGGAACACCAGUGGCGAAGGCGGCUCUCUGGUCUGUAGCUGACGCUGAAGCUCGAAAGCGUGGGGAGC
rnacentral:rRNA from 1 species